UACGUAGGGGGCUAGCGUUGUCCGGAAUCAUUGGGCGUAAAGAGCUUGUAGGCGGUUUGUCGCGUCUGCCGUGAAAAUUCGAGGCUCAACCUCGAACUUGCGGUGGGUACGGGGCAGACUAGAGUGCGGUAGGGGAGAUUGGAAUUCCUGGUGUAGCGGUGGAAUGCGCAGAUAUCAGGAGGAACACCGAUGGCGAAGGCAGAUCUCUGGGCCGUUACUGACGCUGGAGGAGCGAAAGCGUGGGGAGCGAACAGG
rnacentral:rRNA from 1 species